rnacentral:rRNA from 1 species
CGGAUGCGAUCAUACCAGCACUAAAGCACCGGAUCC